GGUCUCUUAGCUCAGUUGGUUAGAGCAUCUGACUCAUAAUCAGGGGGUCCUAGGUUCGAUACCUAGAGGGACCA
rnacentral:tRNA from 1 species